GAUGAACGCUGGCGGCGUGCCUAAUACAUGCAAGUCGAACGAGUUCUCGUUGAUGAUCGGUGCUUGCACCGAGAUUCAACAUGGAACGAGUGGCGGACGGGUGAGUAACACGUGGGUAACCUGCCCUUAAGUGGGGGAUAACAUUUGGAAACAGAUGCUAAUACCGCAUAGAUCCAAGAACCGCAUGGUUCUUGGCUGAAAGAUGGCGUAAGCUAUCGCUUUUGGAUGGACCCGCGGCGUAUUAGCUAGUUGGUGAGGUAAUGGCUCACCAAGGCGAUGAUACGUAGCCGAACUGAGAGGUUGAUCGGCCACAUUGGGACUGAGACACGGCCCAAACUCCUACGGGAGGCAGCAGUAGGGAAUCUUCCACAAUGGACGCAAGUCUGAUGGAGCAACGCCGCGUGAGUGAAGAAGGCUUUCGGGUCGUAAAACUCUGUUGUUGGAGAAGAAUGGUCGGCAGAGUAACUGUUGUCGGCGUGACGGUAUCCAACCAGAAAGCCACGGCUAACUACGUGCCAGCAGCCGCGGUAAUACGUAGGUGGCAAGCGUUAUCCGGAUUUAUUGGGCGUAAAGCGAGCGCAGGCGGUUUUUUAAGUCUGAUGUGAAAGCCCUCGGCUUAACCGAGGAAGCGCAUCGGAAACUGGGAAACUUGAGUGCAGAAGAGGACAGUGGAACUCCAUGUGUAGCGGUGAAAUGCGUAGAUAUAUGGAAGAACACCAGUGGCGAAGGCGGCUGUCUGGUCUGUAACUGACGCUGAGGCUCGAAAGCAUGGGUAGCGAACAGGAUUAGAUACCCUGGUAGUCCAUGCCGUAAACGAUGAAUGCUAGGUGUUGGAGGGUUUCCGCCCUUCAGUGCCGCAGCUAACGCAUUAAGCAUUCCGCCUGGGGAGUACGACCGCAAGGUUGAAACUCAAAGGAAUUGACGGGGGCCCGCACAAGCGGUGGAGCAUGUGGUUUAAUUCGAAGCAACGCGAAGAACCUUACCAGGUCUUGACAUCUUUUGAUCACCUGAGAGAUCAGGUUUCCCCUUCGGGGGCAAAAUGACAGGUGGUGCAUGGUUGUCGUCAGCUCGUGUCGUGAGAUGUUGGGUUAAGUCCCGCAACGAGCGCAACCCUUAUGACUAGUUGCCAGCAUUUAGUUGGGCACUCUAGUAAGACUGCCGGUGACAAACCGGAGGAAGGUGGGGAUGACGUCAAAUCAUCAUGCCCCUUAUGACCUGGGCUACACACGUGCUACAAUGGAUGGUACAACGAGUUGCGAGACCGCGAGGUCAAGCUAAUCUCUUAAAGCCAUUCUCAGUUCGGACUGUAGGCUGCAACUCGCCUACACGAAGUCGGAAUCGCUAGUAAUCGCGGAUCAGCACGCCGCGGUGAAUACGUUCCCGGGCCUUGUACACACCGCCCGUCACACCAUGAGAGUUUGUAACACCCGAAGCCGGUGGCGUAACCCUUUUAGGGAGCGAGCCGUCUAAGGUGGGACAAAUGAUUAGGGUGAAGUCGUAACAAGGU
rnacentral:rRNA from 1 species